GAUGAACGCUAGCUACAGGCUUAACACAUGCAAGUCGAGGGGCAGCAUGGGGGAGGUUUCGGCCACCCCCGAUGGCGACCGGCGGAUGGGUGAGUAACGCGUAUCCAACCUGCCCCUGUCCCGGGGACAGCCCUUAGAAAUGAGGAUUAACCCCCGAUGGCGCGGAAUAGCCGCAUGGCUUAUCCGCCAAAUGCGAAGGACAGGGAUGGGGAUGCGUUCCAUUAGGCAGCAGGCGGGGUAACGGCCCACCUGGCCGGCGAUGGAUAGGGGUUCUGAGAGGAAGGUCCCCCACACUGGAACUGAGACACGGUCCAGACUCC
rnacentral:rRNA from 1 species